ACUUUCAACAACGGAUCUCUUGGCUCUUGCAUCGAUGAAGAACGCAGCGAAAUGCGAUAAGUAAUGUGAAUUGCAGAAUUCAGUGAAUCAUCGAAUCUUUGAACGCACCUUGCACUCCUUGGUAUUCUGAGGAGUAUGCCUGUUUGAGUGUCAUGU
rnacentral:rRNA from 1 species